AAGUCGUAACAAGGUCUCCGUAGGUGAACCUGCGGAAGGAUCAUUCAUAAUAAGUGUUUUACUGCACUUUUUAAAAAUCAGUAUUCACCUUGUGUGCAAUGUUUGCUGACGAGUUUGCGUUUUACGCGUUCUUGGCAGCACAAUACCAACCCUUUAUUGAAAUUUUUUGUCUGAAAUUUUUUGAAUACAUAAUUCGAAAUACAACUUUUAACAACGGAUCUCUUGGCUCUC
rnacentral:misc_RNA from 1 species